rnacentral:rRNA from 1 species
UAGGGAAUCUUCCACAAUGGACGCAAGUCUGAUGGAGCAACGGCCGCGUGAGUGAAGAAGGUUUUCGGACCGUAAAGCUCUGUUGUUGGUGAAGAAGGAUAGAGGUAGUAACUGGCCCUUUAUUUGACGGUAAUCAACCAGAAAGUCACGGCUAACUACGUGCCAGCAGCCGCGGUAAUACGUAGGUGGCAAGCGUUGUCCGGAUUUAUUGGGCGUAAAGCGAGCGCAGGCGGAAGAAUAAGUCUGAUGUGAAAGCCCUCGGCUUAACCGAGGAAUUGCAUCGGAAACUGUUUUCUUGAGUGCAGAAGAGGAGAGUAGAACUCCAUGUGUAGCGGUGGAAUGCGUAGAUAUAUGGAAGAAUACCAGUGGCGAAGGCGGCUCUCUGGUCUGCAACUGACGCUGAGGCUCGAAAGCAUGGGUAGCGAACAGGAUUAGAUACCCUUG